AUGGUGACUUUUUUGGGGGGGAAGAAGGGGAUAUUUAUGUCAAUACUAUCUUUCAUAGGGUGAGGAAGAUGAGUACCUUUCACUCACAAUAACUGUUCACUGUUGUCCAAGUACGUGCAUCUGAAAAUUAUCCAUAAGCAGAAGUGUAACCCUGCAAUUUUGGAACUGAGUAAUGCUAGAAAUAGGACCUGCCAUAACGAAAAUUGGGACUAUUUGGCCAGGAAUACAGGAAUGCCACAAGAAAAGAUCAUCAUUAUGGACCCAGUUCUUUCUACCUAGUGCUGCCUUGGUGCUGAGUACCCACCUGAGAGUUUGGAAGAUUAGGGUGCUGAGCAUGUUAUGGAAGGUGCCCGGUACCUGGUAGAAUCUUAUACUCUCCGAACUUCAUGACCAUUUUGUCUAAAAUAAAGUGGUGAAACUUCCUUUAAAAAUUGUCCACAUAAUUUAUGCUAGGGAUGUAUAAACUGGUUUGGAUACAAUAUAAAUAAUUUUACCGCAACCUUAGUAACUUUGUUCAAAAUGCAAGUACAUCCUGUUGAAGAAAAAUAUUUGUCCAUACAUAAAAGCUAUGUAGUUUUGUUAGUCUAAAUUAAUAUUUGUUUUAGCAAUAGGUGUAGAAGUUUGAGAAAGCUGCUGGAAUCGAUUGUGGAAUGCAGAGAACUUUAAAAUUAUCCUCAGAAUUAACAUUAUAUUCCAAAAAUCAGAGACAAAUUCCAGAAAAUAAAUGAGUCAUUUAUUCAGCUCUUGGCAGGCAAUACAGUGAAUAUGGAGGACAAGUAAAGGCAAAUAGUGAUAAAAGGAUUCUAAUAUAACAAGAAAAACCCUGUAAAUCUUUAUGUGAUGGAGGACUUGCACUUGUCUUUUUUUCCUCUGGGUUUUGUCUUGUCAUAUUUAGACUUCUGCAAUUUCUGAUUGCUUUGACCUGUUUUAGGAUUUUAACUUUUCCAUAAUGGUGAAUGAAGAAAGACUCUGUCCUUGAAUAUCUCUUUGCUUUCAAGCCCCAACAUAUAGAAUGUGCAGAUGCUAUAAAUGCCACAUAUAGCUUAGAUUUUCUAUUCCCUUCUCUGCUCCAUUGAGAAUAAUUUGUUAUAAUUGCUGAAGAAGCCAGAUUAUUUGUAUUUUUUCAUGAUGACAAGUGCUCACCCUUAUUAUUCUUGACUACAAAUUCAUGAAGGGCCCAGCACUAAUAACCAAAAUGAAUAUCAUAGAUAUUUAUGAAAACACAACCAGUAGGGUCACCAUUUCAAGAGGAAUCUUGCAGUGAUAUUUUUUAACCUUAUAUGCCAAAACCAAAUGACAAACUGUCAGUAUUUAACCUCCAGCCAUUACACACAACAAAGAAAGAGAGAACUGUAACAGGGCUACCAUAGAAUAUAUGACGUACUCACUCAAAAUAAUAUCUUUGAAACUUAUAAGAAGUUUAGGAAGGAACAAAAUGUUUAAUACGUUUUUAGUUGCAUCAAAACACAAAGACUGUAUUUAGACUUGAAGACAGUUACAAUGCUUUGCCAAUUACUGAGCUGCCCAAUUCUCAUUUGACUCCAGUUGUAGGUCAGUUAACUCCAAAGAUAUUAAUGAACUGUUGCUGAUUGUAACAAGCUAAAACUCUAAGACUCAUCAGAGGAACUCUCCUGGGCCAGUAUUCCUUGUUCCAGGUUUGCCUACAAGUGUCCCUGUGGUGCAUGGAACAAGGUCACUGCAGACAGAGUGAUCUCAGAUAGAACAUAACAUAAGAACAUAAG